UAGGGAAUCUUGCGCAAUGGGCGAAAGCCUGACGCAGCGACGCCGCGUGUGGGAAGAAGGCCUUCGGGUUGUAAACCACUUUCAGGAGGGAAGAAGCGCAAGUGACGGUACCUCCAGAAGAAGGUCCGGCCAACUACGUGCCAGCAGCCGCGGUAAUACGUAGGGACCGAGCGUUGUCCGGAAUUAUUGGGCGUAAAGAGCUCGUAGGUGGUCUCUUAAGUCGGGUGUGAAAUCUCAGGGCUCAACUCUGAAACUGCACCCGAUACUGGGAGACUUGAGGCAGGUAGGGGAGAUCGGAAUUCCUGGUGUAGCGGUGAAAUGCGCAGAUAUCAGGAGGAACACCGGUGGCGAAGGCGGAUCUCUGGGCCUGUUCUGACACUGAGGAGCGAAAGCGUGGGGAGCGAACAGGAUUAGAUACCCCCGUAGUCC
rnacentral:rRNA from 1 species